rnacentral:rRNA from 1 species
CCCUUAGAUGUUCUGGGCGGCCCGCGCACUACAUUGGCACUAGCAAAGAGAUCCUAGAUUGAAUUCUUUGGGGUAUUCUUCUAAAUGGUGUCGUGACUGGGAUAAAUCCUUGUAAUUAUUGGUUUUGAACGAGGAAUUCCUUGUAAUCGCGGUUUAUCAACUCGCGUUGAAUGCGUCCCUGCCCUUUGUACACACCGCCCGUCGCUCCUACCGAUGGAUCGUCCGGUGAAGCUCACGGAGUGACUGUUCACGCAACGGUUUACGAAGUGAAAUGGACCUCACGAUUUAGAGGAAGGAGAAGUCGUAACA